UACACAUGUUGUCUUGACUAUUCCUAGGUGCCUGCCUAUUUUACCAUUUGAUGAUCACAAUUACUAUAUCAUAGUUGCUGUAAGAUGACUUUUAAACAUAUGCCACCUACAUUUAUUAUGAAGUGUGAUUUGAUAUAUAUUGCAAAGAAAUAGCAAUGCCUACUUGUUCUGGAUAUAAUUUUGUAUCAGUUCACAGCUGAUCAUACAUUUUUAUUUGUUAACAUAAGAAAUCUUUGGCUUCUCCUGAUUAUGCCAUUUUUAUUUGUACAUAAGAACCUUUGACUUCUCCAACCACUGAGUACUGAAGUUUCUAUAUGUCUGGAUUUCUCAAUGGUCAAUCAAUUUGUUACCAUAUAGUUGAGCACUUGAGCAGUCUGCCAAUAUACGAUUAUAAUUUUACUGGCAGGAAGCUAGACAAGAAAAUAUAAUUAACUUUGUUAGGUACGUGGAGCAAUACUAACUCCUAUAAAUCAUGUGUUAGUAUUGUACUAGAAUUUACGAAGAUUUGUAAUUUUGUUCCAUGAUCCAUGUUGUUGCAUGCCCACAUUAUUUUUCUCCGGGUAUUUUUGGAUGCUUAAAAAAUUACCUCUCAAAGGUUUAUUGUACCAGAGAUUUUAUUUUGAGGCAUGCCAUAUUUGAGUUUAACACAAUAGAGAAUAUUUUAAUUCACACAAAAAGGGAAAACAACAGCUACACGGGCCGGCCAUAUAGUGGUUUGCAUGUGCGUUAUAGCGACAGUACGUCACAAAAGGCGAUGAAUGGGAUUUUCCGCCCUCGCUGGCAUAUUGUUUUUUCCUCCGGCAACCAAGCCAAUUCUGCUAGAUUGAAGGCGAGAUGGCUGGUGUUCUUGAUAUGGACUACUUUGAAAGCCAGUCUUCAGCAGGGUUUUUCCUCUCAGAAAUGUAGUUUUUUCUAUAAGAAUAGAUACUGAAUCCCGAAUACUUUGAUUGUUGUGCAGUGAAAGUACUGAUAUUCACUAACCUUUCUGAUUCAGCCCAUUGAAGUCUUCUAUAUAAUGCACUAAGCCAUUGGCAGUGUUGAAAUUGGAGUAAAGAACAAUGUUGAAAUUGCUCUGAUUAUUACUGAAUUAUGUUGUACUCCUGAACUUGUUAGAGGGUGCCAACUUAGAAGUUUCAGGUCUCAUUUGUCCAUUCAUUUAGUCAUUUUAAUUUUAACUUUGAGAGGGUGCCAUGAUCUUAUUAGGAAUAUAAGCUUAUUUUGCAUGAUUAAUUGAUGUUUUUUACAUUAAUAUUUUUGCAGCAUUUUGCUCGGGGUGCUCAUGCCUUUUGCCAUGCGUGGAGAUCAGAUCUGUUACAGGCACAUGCCAACAGAAAUAUUUUUAGCAAGACACGUAAGCAGGGGAUUAUGCAAAAGAAUAGUAAAACAUUUGUUGCAAGAAUUAUAUCCUGCUGAUGUGCUGCGUAUUAAAUUGUUUUUCUGCCUCUGAAAUAUUUCCUGCAUUAUUUCAGUCAAACGCUCCCAAAGGACAUUUAGGCUCAAAUGUAUUGUAUUGAGACACA
rnacentral:lncRNA from 1 species